AUUGAACGCUGGCGGCAUGCCUUACACAUGCAAGUCGAACGGCAGCACGGGAGCAAUCCUGGUGGCGAGUGGCGAACGGGUGAGUAAUACAUCGGAACGUACCUGGUAGUGGGGGAUAGCCCGGCGAAAGCCGGAUUAAUACCGCAUACGACCUGAGGGUGAAAGCGGGGGAUCGCAAGACCUAGCGCUAUUGGAGCGGCCGAUGGCAGAUUAGGUAGUUGGUGGGGUAAAGGCCUACCAAGCCUACGAUCUGUAGCUGGUUUGAGAGGACGACCAGCCACACUGGGACUGAGACACGGCCCAGACUCCUACGGGAGGCAGCAGUGGGGAAUUUUGGACAAUGGGCGCAAGCCUGAUCCAGCCAUGCCGCGUGCGGGAAGAAGGCCUUCGGGUUGUAAACCGCUUUUGUCAGGGAAGAAACGCUCUGAGCUAAUACCUCGGGGUAAUGACGGUACCUGAAGAAUAAGCACCGGCUAACUACGUGCCAGCAGCCGCAGUAACAC
rnacentral:rRNA from 1 species